rnacentral:rRNA from 1 species
UACAGAGGGGGCAAGCGUUGUUCGGAAUUACUGGGCGUAAAGGGCGCGUAGGCGGCCUUCUAAGUCGAACGUGAAAUCCCCGGGCUCAACCCGGGAACUGCGUCCGAUACUGGAAGGCUUGAAUCCGGGAGAGGGAUGCGGAAUUCCAGGUGUAGCGGUGAAAUGCGUGGAUAUCUGGAGGAACACCGGUGGCGAAGGCGGCAUCCUGGACCGGCAUUGACGCUGAGGCGCGAAAGCAUGGGGAGCGAACAGGA